rnacentral:rRNA from 1 species
UACAGAGGUCCCAAGCGUUGUUCGGAUUCACUGGGCGUAAAGGGUGCGUAGGCGGUCGGGUAAGUCUGAUGUGAAAUCUUCAAGCUCAACUUCGAAACUGCGUCGGAUACUAUUCGGCUGGAGGACUGGAGGGGAGACUGGAAUACUUGGUGUAGCAGUGAAAUGCGUAGAUAUCAAGAGGAACACCAGUGGCGAAGGCGAGUCUCUGGACAGUUCCUGACGCUGAGGCACGAAAGCCAGGGGAGCAAAC